UAGAAGUACUCAUGUUGGGUGAUCCAUGUUGGGUGAUCGGAGGACGCAAGUAUCUGUAUGUAAUCUUUGUUGAGAAAAAACGAAUGGUACGCCAGACUGAUGUUGCAGGCUUGUACCAUGCCUACCCUAAUGAAAUAGAGCAGGGCUAGUAUUCACCUGGAGUUUUUUGGCUUUUUCAUCUCUGUUACACACUAGUUUGACGUUGCAUAUUUUAAUGAAACCCAGUUCUUUGCACACAGUAAUACCAUGUGAGAUGAGAUAGCUCUAAGUUCCGCUUCAUUAUUAGUCCCAAAACCAAAUUUUACUGAAAAAGCAACUUGGACAACACCUAAGCGAUCACGAAUCAGCCCCCCUCCUCCACUAGGCCCGGGAUUUCCCCUGCAACUUCCAUCAACGUUGAGUUUAACCCAACCCUCCGGCGGUCGCUGCCAAUAAAUAAUGCGAGGGCUCCUUUCAGAGGAAAUUUUAAAAGGCACUUCCAUAGCUUGAAGUAGCUCUUGGCCCGUUGUCGACAGCCUACACUUCUCCGAAAGGGUCUCUGCCAUCCUCCGAAGCCAGUCCUUUAUUGAGAGCCAAACAGCUUCAACUGAAUCAUAGUAUCCUUCCAUCCUAGCUCUGCAGUGCCGUGUCCAUAAUCUCCAGGACAACCGAGAGUGAGCUUCUGUAUGUAAGCUGUAGCAGAAUGCCAAAAUGAAGUUUCACCAUUUAUUAGAUAUUGC